CAUGCUCCUUAUUUUAUUGUUUCCACCCAUGAUGCACCAACACAACAUGUCUAUGACAUGUCUUGCCCAUCACACUUGGUCUACCAUGCUUGUCAUGGCCGGCCACUACUAAUAGAGGGGGGAAAUUGACAUGCAAGUCCCCCCUUUUUUUUCAACAUGCACUAAUAGGUCCUUAUGCUUUGACCUAUCACAUUUCAAAAUUUUCUCACAUAAGUCCUAUUUACUAAAACUCACAUGCAAUCGACUAAAUCGAAGCUUGAAAUUUUCACACAUUCAUAAUUACAUAUUCUAGACCAUAAAUAUCACAUUUGAACUUUUCGGUGACUCGGUUUAGCGGUCCCGAAACCACUUCCCGACUAGGGUCAAUUUUGGGCUGUCACAACUCUCCCCCACUUAAGAAAUUUUCGUCCCCAAAAAUCUUACCGGUAAAUAAGUUUGGGUAUCGUUCUUUCAUCGAGCUCUCGGUUUCCCAAGUAGCUUCCUCGAUCCCAUGUUUGAGACAUAACACCUUUACUAGCGGAACCCUUUUGUUUCGCAACUCCUUCACUUCACGAGCUAGGAUACGCAUUGGUUCUUCUUCAUAACUCAUAUCGGCUUGAAUUUCAACCUCUGAUGGGCUAAUUAUGUGCGAUGGAUCAAAUCUAUAGCGUCGAAGCAUCGAAAUAUGAAAGACAUCGUGAAUCUUUUCAAGUUCAGGGGGCAAAAUCAAUCUAUACGCAACCGGACCAACUCGUUCGGAGAUUUCGUACGGCCCAAUGAAUCUCGGGCUCAACUUGCCCUUACGGCCAAAUCUGAGUACCUUUUUCCAAGGCGAAACUUUAAGAAACACUUUAUCUCCCACCUGAUAUUCAAUGUCUUUUCGUUUCAAAUCCGCAUACGAUUUUUGACGAUCUGUGGCUGCCUUCAGACUUUCACGGAUUACCUUUACUUUCUGUUCGGCAUCUUUAAUCAAAUCAACUCCAAAAAUUUUACUUUCACCGAGCUCGGUCUAAAACAAUGGUGUACGGCAUUUACGACCGUACAAAGCCUCGUAAGGUGCCAUCUUAAUACUUGUUUGAAAACUAUUGUUGUAAGCGAAUUCAAUCAAAGGUAAAAACCGUUCCCAUGAACUACUGAACUCGAGGAUGCAACAUCUCAACAUAUCCUCAAGUAUCUGAAUUAUCCGCUCGGAUUGACCAUCGGUUUGGGGGUGAAAAGCAGUGCUAAAAUGCAGCUUGGUACCCAAAGCUUCUUGCAAUUUCUUCCAAAAUCGUGAGGUGAAUCUCGGAUCUCUAUCCGACACGAUAGAAAUAGGUACCCCGUGUAAUCUCACAAUCUGAGAAACGUACAAUUCAGCUAGUUUAUCCAAUGAAAAAUCCGUACGCACGGGGAUAAAGUGAGCCGACUUAUUCAGUCUAUCGACAACAACCCAAAUCGCAUCUUUCUUACUUGCUGACAAUGGCAGUCCGGACACAAAGUCCAUUGUGACUCGAUCCCAUUUCCACUCAAGUAUCAUGAUCGGCUGAAGUAAUCCUGAAGGCACUUGAUGUUCCGCUUUCACUUGUUGACAUAUUAAACAUCUCGAAACAAAGUCGGAGAUGUCUCGUUUCAUACCAUGCCACCAAAACCAACGUUUCAAAUCGUUGUACAUUUUCGUACUCCCCGAGUGAAUUGACAUUCGACUACAAUGGGCUUCGUUCAGAAUCAUCGAAAUGAGUUCCGAAUUCCUUGGAACACACAAACGACUUCUGAACCUCAAACAAUCAUCAUCAUCAAUUUGAAACUCCGAUUCCUUGUUCGGAACACACUCAGCCCGUUUUGCAACCAAUUCAUCAUCAACUUUCUGGGCUUCACGAAUUUGAUGAAUCAAUAAUGGUUUGGCUUUUAAUUCAGCUACUAACACAUUGUCGGGUAGAACAGACAAGUGCACAUUCAUCGCUCGUAAAGCAAACAAUGAUUUCCGGCUUAAGGCGUCCGCAACCACAUUAGCCUUUCCCGGGUGGUAACCAAUGACAAGCUCGUAAUCUUUCAACAACUCAAGCCAACGUCUUUGUUGCAGAUUUAAGUCUCUUUGAGUCAUCAAAUAUUUGAGACUUUUGUGAUCCAAAAAUACAUGGCACUUUUCACCAAAUAAGUAAUGUCGCCAUAUUUUUAAAGCAAAUACGAUGGCAGCUAGUUCAAGAUCAUGGGUCGGAUAAUUUUUCUCAUGUGGCUUUAAUUGUCUCGACGCAUAGGCCACCACUCGACCUUCUUGCAUCAAUACGCAACCCAACCCAAGUAGGGAUGCGUCACUAUAAAUGACAAACUCUUUGCCUGAUUCGGGUUGCACUAAAAUUGGAGCUUCAGUCAAAUAAGUUUUCAGUUGAUCGAAACUUUUCUGACAUUUCUCCGUCCAUUCGAACUUAACAUCCUUUUGAAGUAGCUUCAUCAUUGGUGUGGCUAUCAUCGAGAAACCUUUGACAAAUCGUCGGUAAUAACUGGCGAGUCCCAAAAAGCUCCGAACCUCAGUAAUAUUUCUCGGAGGUUUCCAGUUAAGUAUGGCUGAAAUUUUGUUCGGGUCAACUCGAAUACCCGAUGCGGAUACCACAUGACCCAAGAAACUAACCUCUCUUAACCAGAACUCACACUUACUGAACUUAGCAUAUAACAGCUUAUCCCGCAAAAUUUGCAACACUAGUCUCAGGUGCUCAGCAUGUUCGGUCUCAUCUCUUGAAUAGACCAAGAUGUCAUCAAUGAACACAACUACGAAACGAUCCAAAUAUGGUCUGAAGAUCCGAUUCAUCAAAUCCAUAAAUACCGCAGGGGCAUUAGUGAGGCCAAACGGCAUCACUAAGAAUUCGUAGUGACCAUAUCUCGUUCUGAAGGCAGUUUUGGGUAUGUCCGAAUCUCGAAUUCGCAACUGAUAAUAGCCCGAUCUCAAAUCUAUUUUUGAGAACACUGAGGCUCCUUUUAGUUGAUCAAACAAAUCAUCAAUACGCGGUAACGGAUAUUUAUUCUUUAUCGUCACUUUAUUCAGCUGACGAUAGUCAAUGCACAACCUCAUGGUUCCGUCCUUCUUUUUCACGAACAAUACUGGUGCACCCCAAGGUGAGAAACUUGGUCGAGCGAAACCUCCAUCCGUCAAUUCUUGCAACUGAGCUUUCAACUCUUUUAACUCGGUUGGUGCCAUACGAUACGGAGCUAUCUAAAUCGGCGUAGUCCCAGGUACAAGCUCAAUACCAAACUCUAUCUCCCGAACAGGUGGUAAACCCGGUAAUUCUUCAGGAAAAACAUCCGGGUAUUCACAAACCACCGGCACAGAUUCGGGUUUCUUUUCUAAUUCUUUGUCAUCAAGUACAUACGCAAGGUAUGCUUCGCACCCUUUUCUUACAUAUUUCUGGGCCAACAUUGAGGAUAUUACAGCUGGCAACCCCUUUAAGUCCGUAGACUCAACUCGGAUUAUCUCGCCAUUUGCGCACCUCAAAUCAAUAGUCUUGCUUUUGCAAUUCACAACCGCAUCAUGCGCGGUCAACCAAUCCAAACCAAGAAUAACAUCAAAUUCAUCAAACGGCAAAAGCAUCAAGUCCGCCGAAAAACAGGAACCUCGAAUUACUAAGGGACAUUUCUUGCACACUUUGUCGACCAGCACGUAACGACCCAAGGGAUUUGGCACCCGAAUUACGAACUCAGUAGACUCAAUAGGUAAAGUCUUACUGGAUGCUAAGGUUUCACAUAUGUAAGAAUGAGUAGAACCGGGGUCAAUCAAAGCAAUUACAUUAGUAUCAAAGAGAGUAAAAGUACCGGUAAUAACAUCAGGCGAAGAAGCAUCCUCACGGGCACGUAUAGCAUAAGCUCUAGCAGGCGCACGAGCCUCGGAUCUGGUCGUAGCAUCUCUAGAUCCUCUCUGACCACCACUAGCAUUGCCCGUAUUUCCAGAUGGUCUACCUCGAGCAGUGGUAGCACCCGGUUUUCCACUCUGAUUUACAUUCUGUUCAGACAACCUCGGGCAAUCUUUAAUGAAGUGGUCAACUGAUCCGCACUUGUAACAGGAGCGGUCAGGGAAUCUACAACUCCCCGAAUGCCAUUUACCGUAAUAUCGACAUUUCGUUCUGUCUCGACGUUCAUUCCCAACACUAGCGACCGAAGUGCCUCUAGACCGGCCCACAUCAUCUCGAAAUUUCUUCGAUGCCUGUUGAAGAGACUUUCCCGAGGAUCUUUUACGAAACUCUCCAGUUCCCACAUCAACUUUUUGUUUUUCUUUUCUAAGCUCUUCGGCUUUACAAGCUCGCUCGACAAGUACUACGAACUCUCGUAUUUCAAGAAUGCCAACGAACAUUUUUAUAUCUUCAUUCAGCCCAUCCUCGAAGCAUUUACACAUGAUAGCCUCGGACGAAACACAUUCCCGAGCGUAUCUACUAAGUCUAACAAAUUUUCGCUCGUAAUCAGUUACUGACAUAGAACCUUGCUUAAGCUCAAGAAAUUCCUUCCGUUUUUGAUCAACAAAUCUCUGACUGAUAUACUUUUUCCGAAACUCAGUUUGGAAAAACUCCCAAGUUACUUGCUCUCGGGGCACAACAGAAGUCAGAGUACUCCACCAAUAAUAGGCAGAAUCGCGUAGCAAGGAGAUAGUACACUUUAGGCAUUCAUCGGGUGUACAAGAGAGCUCAUCGAGUACCCGGAUAGUGUUGUCCAACCAAAAUUCAGCUUGCUAGGCAUCGUCGCUAUCCGUAGCUUUAAAUUCAGUAGCCCCAUGUUUUCAGAUUCUGUCAACUGGGGGCUUAUUUGACCUUAUUUGGUCAGUUACCGGAGGUAUUGUAGGUGCGGGGGUGGUAUUUGUCGGGAAUGGAGGUUGUGGAACAGCCGUAUUAGUUCGAAUGUAUUGGUUGAACCAAUCAUUCAUCACGCUAUAGAAAGCUUGUCUAGCUUCAUCAUUCGGGUUACUAGCAUUAGGUUGAGAGUCCGCCGGCGCUGUCCCUUGUGCGGGAGCAGGCGCUACACUCUCAAGAUCAUCAGCUACCGCUCAGUCGGGAUCGGGAUCCAUUACUAUAAAUAAACACAUUUACAAUUGUCAGAAAUCACCACACUAUCAAAUAAUCACAUAAAAUGGCAUGUAUAGCUAGACCCAACGCAUUACGGUAGUCCUAGAAUCGACUAAACCGUAGCUCUGAUACCAAUCAAAUGUAACACCCCGAACCCGAAACCGUCACCGGAGUCGAACACGAGGUGUUAACAGACUUUAAACCACUUAUAAAAAAAUUUCCCAGACACUGCCAAUCUGCGUACUAGUCGCUUUAAAAAUCAUAUCUUGAGUUCAAAAACUCGGAAUCCAGUUCCGUAAAUUUUUCCUGAAACUAGACUCAUAUGCCCAUCUACAUUUUUUUUCUAGAAUUUUUUGUUAGGCCAAUUAGAACAUUUUAUUAUUCAAAGUAUACCAUGUUACAGGGAUCGACUACACUGACCUUUGCGCAUUACGACUUGGAUAUCUCCCUGUACAGGGCUUCAAUACUGAUUUCGUUUGUUUCUAUAGAAACUAGACUCAAAGAGGAAUCUAUAAAUAUAUGGAAUGACUCCUAAUUAUCUCUUGUUAAUUUAUAAUGAAUUUCCAAAGUCGAAACAGGGAAUCCAGAAACCGUUCUGGCCCUGUCUUACGAGAACCUGAAUAUCUCUUAACAUACUUCCCAUAUGAUCGUUUUGUUACUUUCCUAUGAAAAUAGAUUCAUCAAGGUUCGUUUACAUAAUUUAUUCACUAUUUCAUUCCAUUCCUACUAUUUUUAGUGAUUUUCCAAAUCUACAUCACUGCUGCUGUCAGCAUCUGCCUUUAAGGUAGACUUUACCUAUUUCAUAGUUUCCAUGAUUCAACUAGCCCUUUUAGCAUAAAUAGCACAAAUUAUGAUAGUGAUUAACCAUUCCCAUGGCCAAUCCUUGUUAAGCACAGCCACACCAAAUGAUGAUAACAUUAUGCUCAAACAUAUAUAAGCCAUUUUCGCAUGGCUAUCCAAAAUUAUACAAGUCCAAAGGGUCCAUGACCCACAACAAACGGGUAGUCCUAUACAUGCCAUUUUGAAGUUCAACCAAAUUUGUACCAAAAGGGGGGCUUUGAUAGUGUGGACGACUUCGACUUCAAAAUCCCGAGUCCGAUAGCUAGAGAACCAAAAUCUAUAAAACAGAGAAUCAAGGAGACGGAGUAAGCAAUUUAUGCUUAGUAAGUUUUGAGCAAGGGAUUCCAGCACAACAAAAGUAUAGCAUUCAUGUAGCUAAACGGAUAAUUUCAUAUGCACAAUUUUUCAAUAUCAUACUUACUUCAUAUUACCAACCCUUUUAUUCAUACACAAAGAUCAACUUAGCCAAAGGCCGGUAGCUCAUUUAUCAACUGAGCGAAUACUUAUUUGUAAGGGCUCAACUAAUUCAAAGCACAUACGAAACAUACCUCAAUGUUGGGAUGUUUCAAGCGUAUUAACUGAAAUUUUUACAGCAAGAUCAUUCAUUCCCAAAUCACGUACCUUCGGAAUUUAACCGGAUAUAGCUACUCGUUCAAAUGCCUUCGGGACAUAGCCCGGUUAUAGUAACUCGCACAAAUGCCUUCGGGACUUAACCCGGAUUUAAUAACUCGCACAAAUGCCUUCGGGCUUAGCCCGGAAUUAGUAUCUCGCACAAAUGCCUUCGGAUCUUAGUCUGGAUUUAGUAUCUCGCACAAAUGCCUUCGGAUCUUAGUCCGGAUAUGGUCACUUAGCACAAAGCCUUCGGGACUUAGCCCGGGCAUCAUUCAAAUAACCAUGCACAUUUAACAAUAAAUCAUGGCACAUUCGUAUUUCAUUUUCGUUAGCAAAACUCAAACACAAGACUCUUAUCAUUCUUGCAAUUUCGGCUCAAUAGCCACACACAAAGAGCAAUAUUUUAAUUUACUUAAAACAUGAUCUAAUCAAAUCAUAAUUUAAGCUCUUUUACUCAAGAACUUACCUCGGAUGUUGUCGAACGAUUCCGAUAGCUAUUCGACCACUUUUUCCUUCCCUUUAUUGGAUUUAGUUCCCCUUUGCUCUUGAGCUUAAUUAAACAAAUAAAUUGAUUUAAUCAUUUGAGCAUCGAAAAGAGGAACACAAGGCACUUAGCCCAUAUUUAUACAUUAGACAUUAAAGUCACAUAUGUACGGAAAUCAUGAAUCAAACUCAACAUUUUAGCUAAUUUUCCCCCUUGGCCGAAUUUUCUAAGCCAAGACAAAAGCAUCAAUAUGCUUGCCUCUAACCGAAUACAUGCAACACCAAUCUCCUUCCUAUGGCCGAAUAUGCAUGUCUAUGUUGGGGCCGAUUGCAACACUUAAUACAUUCUACAAGCAUGGUCACUUGUAUUGACUAAACACCAUUUUGUUUCAAGUUCAAAACUUGGCUAAUACACACAUAUAUACACUAGUAAAGCAUCCUCUCCCUUUCCAUCAAUUUAACACAUGCAUUACUCAUUAAUAUACAAAAAUUAUAUUCGGCCUUAGCACACAACUUGCUAGCCGAUUCUUCUCCAUCUAGCAACCAAUGCACAUAUGUGCUCACUCAAAAAUGCUAAAAAGAAGAUUCAAGAAUCAUCAAUCCACCAUCACAUGCAUCAUUAACAAGCUUCAUAUUUAGCAUGCAAUGGCAUUAACACAAAAUCCACCUAGGCCAAAUAUCAUCCCCAUGACAUAGCAAAGAUUUGAACCAUGGGCUAAUUAGAACUCAAGCUAGCAACUAAAAACAUGCAUGAAUCUCAUGGCACAACCUCAAACUUACCUUGAUCUAGAUACAAGUAUGGCCAAACCUCCUCCUAAUCCUCUUCCAAACCAAACAUGAAGCAAGAACUCCUUCCUCAUUCCUUAGAAUUUUCGGCCAAAAGAAGAUGAAAAAAAGAUGAACAAAAUUUUUUCUUUUAUUUUCUUUUACUCACGGCAAUGGGGGGAAACAACCACACACCUUUUUUUUUGUUUUCAUCAUAUUUCCUUUCAUUAUUUUAUGCCCAUGCUCCUUAUUUUAUUGUUUCCACCCAUGAUGCACCAACACAACAUGUCUAUGUCAUGUCUUGCCCAUCACACUUGGUCUACCAUGCUUGUCAUGGCCGACCACUACUAAUAGAGGGGGGAAAUUGACAUGCAAGUCCCCCCUUUUUUUUCAACAUGCACUAAUAGGUCCUUAUGCUUUGACCUAUCACAUUUCAAAAUUUUCUCACAUAAGUCCUAUUUACUAAAACUCACAUGCAAUCGACUAAAUCGAAGCUUGAAAUUUUCACACAUUCAUAAUUACAUAUUCUAGACCAUAAAUAUCACAUUCGAACUUUUCGGUGACUCGAUUUAGCGGUCCCGAAACCACUUCCCGACUAGGGUCAAUUUUGGGCUGUCACAUAUAUGCUUCUUCUAUUAAUAAAGAGACAGCACAUCUCAGAUAAUCAUCCAGAGAACAAGCCAUUUGUUUAAAAACUCUUACCAAACUUUGUAGCCAAUACUCAACUUUUACAGGGUCAUUAUCUGAUCUACCUCAAAAUUCUUCAGCUCCAAACUUCCUAAGCUUUCCAAUCAGAGAACGCUUACUAGAUUCAGUUUUCGAAGGAGGUGGAGGAGCAACCGGGGGUGCCACAAGUGGUGCAGUAGGGGGAGGAGGUUGUUGAGUUUGAGUUCUUCCUUGCAUUAGAUCAGUAAACCACUAAUUCAUCACUCCGUAUAUCAUAUUUUUAAGAUCUUGUUCUUGAACUAGAUAGAUUGAAACAUUACUGCUUGUUCCUUGUUUAGAGGUCUGUACUAUACUGUUAGCAUCUUCCUGUUCAGCAUGUUCAAGUCUAUCUGACAUCUUUAUAAUCUAUAAAAAUAACAAGAAUCAGAUCAGAUUAUACACAUCACACUAUCACAAAUUUAUAUGGCAUGUAUUUCCGAACAAUUUA
rnacentral:lncRNA from 1 species